rnacentral:rRNA from 1 species
GACGAACGCUGGCGGCGUGCUUAACACAUGCAAGUCGAACGGUAAGGCCCUUCGGGGUACACGAGUGGCGAACGGGUGAGUAACACGUGGGUGAUCUGCCCUGCACUUCGGGAUAAGCCUGGGAAACUGGGUCUAAUACCGGAUAGGACCAUGGACUUCACGGUUUGUGGUGGAAAGCUUUUGCGGUGUGGGAUGGGCCCGCGGCCUAUCAGCUUGUUGGUGGGGUAAUGGCCUACCAAGGCGACGACGGGUAGCCGGCCUGAGAGGGUGUCCGGCCACACUGGGACUGAGAUACGGCCCAGACUCCUACGGGAGGCAGCAGUGGGGAAUAUUGCACAAUGGGCGCAAGCCUGAUGCAGCGACGCCGCGUGAGGGAUGACGGCCUCGGUUGUAAACCUCUUUCAAUAGGGACGAAGCGCAAGUGACGGUACCUAUAGAAGAAGCACCGGCCAACUAACGUGCCAGCAGCCGCGGUAAU